rnacentral:rRNA from 1 species
CCUACGGGAGGCAGCAGUGAGGAAUAUUGGUCAAUGGGCGUAAGCCUGAACCAGCCAAGUCGCGUGAGGGAUGAAGGUUCUAUGGAUCGUACACCUCUUUUAUAAGGGAAUAAAGUGCGGCACGUGUCCUAUCUUGUAUGUACCCUAUGAAUAAGGAUUGGCUAACUCCGUGCCAGCAACCGCGGUAAUACGGAGGAUCCGAGCGUUAUCCGGAUUUUUUUGGUUUAAAGGGUGCGUAGGCGGGCUGUUAAGUCAGCGGUGAAAGUCUGUGGCUCAACCAUAGAAUGGCCGUUGAAACUGGGGGGCUUGAGUGUGUUGGAGGCAGGCGGAAUGCGUGGUGUAGCGGUGAAAUGCUUAGAUAUCACGCAGAACCCCGAUUGCGAAGGCAGCCUGCCAGGCCAUGACUGACGCUGAUGCACGAAAGCGUGGGGAUCAAACAGGAUUAGAUACCCCUGUAGUC